rnacentral:rRNA from 1 species
CGAGUUUGAUCAUGGCUCAGGAUUAACGCUGACGGUAUGCCUUAUACAUGCAAGUCGAACGGUAAGGUCUCUUCGGAGAUGCACGAGUGGCGGACGGGUGAGUAACGCGUAGGAAUAUGCCCUUUAGUGGGGGACAACCAAGAGAAAUUUUGGCUAAUACCCCAUAUGUCGAGAGAUGAAAGAUUUAUCGCUAGAGGAGUAGCCUGCGUUUGAUUAGCUAGUUGGUGGGGUAAAAGCUCACCAAGGCGACGAUCAAUAGCUGGUUUGAGAGGAUGACCAGCCACAAUGGGACUGAGAUACGGCCCAUACUCCUACGGGAGGCAGCAGUAGGGAAUUUUGCGCAAUGGGCGAAAGCCUGACGCAGCAAUACCGUGUGCGGGAAGACGCUCUGUGGAGUGUAAACCGCUGUCAGAUGGGAAGAAUCAAUGACUGUACCAUCAAAGGAGGACCGGCUAACUCUGUG